rnacentral:rRNA from 1 species
GUCUGCGGCCAUGCUACCCUGAACAAGCCCAAUCCUAUCUGAUUUCAGAAGCUAAGCAGAAUCGGGCCUGGCUAGUACUUGGAUGGGAGACCACCUAGGCAGACCAGGUGCCGUAGGCA